rnacentral:rRNA from 1 species
CCUACGGGAGGCAGCAGUGGGGGAUAUUGCACAAUGGGGGAAACCCUGAUGCAGCGACGCCGCGUGGGCGAAGACGUAUUUCGGUAUGUAAAGCCCUAUCAGCAGGGAAGAAGAAAUGACGGUACCUGAGUAAGACGCACCGGCUAAAUACGUGCAAGCAGCCGCGGUAAUAAGUAUGGUGCAAGCGUUAUACGGAUUUACUGGGUGUAAAGGGAGCGCAGGCGGCACGGCAAGCCUGAUGUGAAAGCCCGCGGCCCAACCGGGGGACUGCAUUGGGAACUACCGGGCUGGAGUGCCGGAGAGGUAGGCGGAAUUCCUAGUGUAGCGGUGAAAUGCGUAGAUAUUAGGAGGAACACCAGUGGCGAAGGCAGCCUACUGGACGGUGACUGACGCUGAGGCUCGAAAGCGUGGGGAGCAAACAGGAUUAGAUACCCUAGUAGUC